AUUAACCGCAAAAAUCAAUUAAAAAAACAGGCUUGCUUGCUGUAUGGAGAAAGAGGAAGAGAACGGAGUGGUAAAAAUACAAACGAAAGGCCUGAGAAAUAUAUAGUCACAAAGAGAGACAGUUUGUAUGGCGCCAAGAGAGAAAUAGAGAGAGGCGAUGAGGCCUGAGAGAGACACGGAGAAAGAAACAGAGAAAGGGGAAGAAUCAGACCACCGGAACCACAAGCACAUAGAAAGAAAAAUCUAUGGCCCAUCAACACCGAAUGAUUGAGAGGGAUACAGAGAUAGUGUUCGUGAAUGUCGCUGCCACCAGCGUCAGUCCGGCUUCCUACCACCGUCAGUAGCCUCGCCAUAGAAGAAAAAUCUAUGGACCAUCAACACCGUAAGGCCAUAUACGCACCACCAUCAGAUUAUCGGAACUGCCGCCAGUACCUUCUUUCCCCCUUUUUAGAUCUAGGUUUAUUGUUCGGUUAAGGUUUAUCGGAACCGCAGGCACAGAGAGACAGGCUACUAUUGGAUAAGAGCUACUAAAUUAAAUUGAAAGGACACAAAAGACAAAUUUGUAAGAAAAACAAGGGAGGACAGCAGUUCUCUAUUUACAACUGCCAUAUCUGCUAAAGAGGAAAAUCAGAUGAUGAUAGCAUACCAAUUCAAAUGCUUCACAAACGAAGCACGACUACUAAACAAAAUGCAUUGAAGAAAGAAGAAAAUUUGAAGAGAAAAAAAAUAACCAAUAGAUGUACUACAUUACCCAGAUGAAAUGUAAUGUAUUUUAUUAUAUUCUUAUGUUAAGUUGAUAGAAUUUUAAAUAUGUAAAAUGUUCCCGUGUAUUGCGAGUGUUAAAUGAUUUUUAUUGAAUAUUUUUUGGAAUUUUUUUUUACUGUGUAUUUAGGAUUUAAAUUUGUCAAUGCCUUACUCUACAAAGUUCUAUUUAAUUUUUGGUUUUUGUUUUUC